rnacentral:lncRNA from 12 species
CACGCGACGGGACUCUACUUCUUCCUCUUGGGUGAAGGCCCCAGCCUUACACCCUCAUUAAGGUCACCCCCUACCCGCCCCACCUCUGAAGACAGACCUGCGGGGUGUGCAUGCGUCAGGGCCCCCGCGAGUGAACCCGGUGCGGGACGGCCAGGGGGCCCGUCCAGGAAUGCUCCUGGUCCGCAGCUGCCGCUGUGCUCCAGGACCAGGGGCCCCCCAGUUCAGGGCGCCGCCAACAAGGUGGGCGAGCUCCCGGCGUGUCUGCGUCAACACAGCGUGGUCAGCAAGGAGGCGCAGCCACUGUGGGAUGAGGGAAGAUCCCGCCUUAAUUCGGGUCUGAUUCCCAGGAAGGUGAAUGUCUGUUGCUUGUGUGCUAUUUGUGGUUCCUCUUUCACGGAUUCUUUUUCUUUUCAUUUUUAAUAUUUUAUUUAUUUAUGAGAGAGAGAGAGAGAGAGAGAGACACAGGCAGAGGGAGAAGCAGGCUCUAUGCAGGGAGCCUGAUGCGGGACUCGAUCCUGGGUCUCCAGGAUCACGCCCUGGGCCAAGGUGCCGGGCUGCCCUCAUGGAUUCUCUCCUAAGCAAGGUGAAGUAAAUAAAUGACCCAAGGCCUCAUCCACCUGUAGGAGUGAUCCCGGAGGGAUGCGAGCAGGUGCCGGCCCAGCAGGCGGGAUCGCCUCUACGGCUCCCUGAAACCCCCGCACUACGGAGACGACAACUCCGAUGUGGGAUGUGCACUUGCGGCCUUCAGGUCCCACGCCGUCCCCCGCUCUGCGCAGCAGUGCCAGGCCCGUGCUGGGCCCGCGGUCACAGGUAGAUCGAGCCUCCCCUCUUGGUCGUCUGCGCCUCCUAUCUUAGUCUUGACAUCUGCAACUUGCCCCCCGUUGCCUCCCCGCCUCGGCCCCCCAUCUUCGGGGCGAGCCUCCCAGGGUCCCCCUGCACACGACUGGCUUGACUUCCCAGGGUCCCAGCCGCAACCGCAGCUUUCCCUGCCUGCUCCCCACCACCCCACCCCCCGGGCCUGCAGCGUCUGUGCGCCUCCCAGCCGCCCCGUCAUCCCCAGGCUCCUGCCCUUCGGCUCCGGUUUCUGUGAGGCCGGGGCUGCUCAGACCCUCGCGGACACAGGAAGCAUCUCACAGGAUCCUUGGUCCGCGGUGGACUCGCUCCCCAGAUAUCUUCUAGAGCCGCGUUAAAGUGCGGACUUCUCUAGGAGGCCGAAGGCAUCUUUUCUCCGUCUGAGCCCUGACAUCCGGAUCAAGCAUAAUCCUGCUUGGCGUUGGGAGUUCGUAUGUGCAUGUGUGUGUCCUACGUGCUCUGUGUUUUAUAAAAGAUUUUAUUUGACAGAGAGAGCGUGCAAGUAGGGGGAGAGGGAGGGGGAGAGGGAGAGGCUGGCUCCCCGCUGAGCAAGGAGCCCAGGGCAGGACUCGAUCCCAGGAUCCCGGGACCAUGACCUGAGCUGAAGGCGGAUGGACGCCCAACCACCUGAGCCCCCCAGGCUCCCCUGCUGUUUUUCACUUUAUAGGUCACUAUGCAAGGCUCAGUUUCCUGAUCCGUAAAUUGAGAAUUUUAACGCUUGACUCGUGUUUGAGGCACACGAAACAGGACACCGCACCGGGGUUUCACGUACAGGGCUCGACACGCAGUGGG